UUAACCCCCACCUACACAAGAGAUUGCCCAAAUAAAUAUUCCUUUGAAGCCUUAGCAUAAUCCUCCUUCUCUCCGGCGCUCCCUGCGCGCCUCCUCUCUGUCUACACGCGCGUUAAUCCAACACGAGAGGCCUGUCGUUGACUAAAGGCACAGGAGGGGGAGAGUGGAGGAUAGAAAAAACAUCAUCUUAAUUGUCCGGCCGCGGUGAGAUACACUUAAUCGCCUCGAGACAACGGCGACACGGGAUCGCCGCGCUGUGAUUGGUGGCCGCUGAAAAGCAUUGGACAAGAGGAUAAGGCAGAGAGAACGAGACGACAGAGGCUGUAUUCAAAUGUGAUCCGGGAGCGGAACAAAAAGACGAGCACGGCCCACGUCCUCCCGCCCCGGGACCCGGAAGACCCGGACAAGACGGUUCCCAGGAGGAAGGCAUUGGAAUAUGCCAAGAGUAUCGCCAAGCCCCACCCAAAGCCCCGACCUAAAAAGCACCAGGACCAUUCAGGGGGUGGCCUGCACUGUGACGCCCACCUGGAAGGCCUGGAGCUGGCCCAGCUGGAAGCGCUGGAAGACAUGAGGAGACGCCACGAGGAGGAGAAGCGGGCCGUGGCCGCCUUCCAGAAGGGGCGCUUGGUCUGAGGUGCGCCUGACUGUCCUGCCGGUCCAAAACAGAACCACGACUCAGAGGAAGAGACGUCCACAUCACAUGACUGUUUACCACCCCGUGCAGGUGUAAUAAAUACAGCUGCAUCACGCCUAGUGCACUGUCAACAACAACAACAACAACAACAACAACAACAACAACAACAACAACAACCAC
ensembl:lncRNA